AUUACCAGUCUGACGAGUGAGAUGUACUUCAGUAUGAAGAGAAAUGUGCACGCCUCCAGGAUCCGCUCCACGACACAACCUUGUUUCUUCUUUGCCCUUCCAUCUGUUCAUCCAUCCGACGCACAGCGCUGUCCUAGCGUGAGGCCACAAAUCGAUCUAAACAAGACCUGUCCCCAGAGGCUUCAGUGAAGAAUAUGACAAAACUGAAGCUUGGAGAAGUGCAGGAAAUUGCUCAACUUCACACUUGCUAAAACAUGAUUCUUGGGAGCAGAGGAUAGCCAAAUGUGCAAGAGGAAGCUACUGAAGAAGAUGCUCCAACAAAAUAAAGGAGAAAACCAGAGGAAACCAAAAGAAUCCCCAACAUAAUUGUUUAAAUGUGGCAAGAGAUACAAAUGUGGUCUCUUGUUCAGAGGAACCUCAGGACCCUGAGUAACAACUGGCCAG